GGGGGUAUGGCUCAAGCAGUAGAGCACUUGCCUAGUAAGCAAGGCCCUGAGUUCAAUCCCCUACUAACCCCC
rnacentral:tRNA from 1 species